rnacentral:rRNA from 1 species
GUGUCAGCAGCCGCGGUAAUACGAAGGGGGCUAGCGUUGUUCGGAAUCACUGGGCGUAAAGGGCGCGUAGGCGGCCUUGCAAGUCGGGGGUGAAAUCCCGUGGCUCAACCACGGAAUGGCCUUCGAUACUGCGGGGCUGGAGACCGGAAGAGGUGAGUGGAACUGCGAGUGUAGAGGUGAAAUUCGUAGAUAUUCGCAAGAACACCAGUGGCGAAGGCGGCUCACUGGUCCGGUUCUGACGCUGAGGCGCGAAAGCGUGGGGAGCAAACAGGAUUAGAAACCCCCGUAGUCC